CCUUCCCCUCCCCAAGUCAUUUCCUCAGCAUCUAAAACCAGCUCUUAUCAUUUGUAAUCAGUAAUUAAUAACAAAGCAUUCUCACUAGUGCAAUUUUUCUGCUAAGGUUAAUGUAAUAUUUCAUCCCAGGCCAGCUGCUGUUUUAUGACUUCAAGCACGACAUCUGGUCACUUGCUGCUGAAGAUGAACCAUCAGGUGAACUGGACCUCUCAUCCUACUCACUGACCUGCUCUUUGGUUGUUGUGGUUCUGAGAAUGAGAUGCCAAAGCACACUGAAACAAAGCACACGGUGCUCAGCGCCUCAGGCUCACCAAGGACAGAAAUACCAGCUCCUAAGCAUCGGAACCUUUGAUACAAAAUGCUGUGGAUGAUGUGUACACCGAGCUCAGACCACAAACCUCUGUCCAGGAAUGGGUACAGCUGCCCACAGAGACAUCCUAGGGAGUGAAAAUCAACUGAAGAUGGGAAACUACAACCCAGGCCAAAAAAAGAUUCAAGAGACAAAUGAUGGAAUCUGCAAACAGCUCAACUCCAUGGAAGGAAACAACAGGGCAGGAUCAGAGAGGCUGUUACAUGUCAACAUAGUAAAUAACCAGAGUCAAAUUCUCAGCUGGUGUAAAUCAACCUAUCUCCAUCUGGUUUUAUGAGGGCAGUGCAACCUGAUAUUAAACACAGAGUAGAAAAACCUGA